rnacentral:rRNA from 1 species
UACGUAGGGUGCGAGCGUUAAUCGGAAUUACUGGGCGUAAAGCGUGCGCAGGCGGUUCGUUGUGUCGGCGGUGAAAGCCCCGGGCUUAACCUGGGAAUGGCCGUUGAAACUGGCGAACUGGAGUGUGGCAGAGGGGGGUGGAAUUCCACGUGUAGCAGUGAAAUGCGUAGAGAUGUGGAGGAACACCGAUGGCGAAGGCAGCCCCCUGGGCUAACACUGACGCUCAUGCACGAAAGCGUGGGGAGCAAACAGG